AAUUAGGGUUUUAGAGAGCAGAGAGGGCCAGAAACGUGUAGGCAGUUUCUCCCUUGGGACUUUCAUAGAAUGUUGUCCAUCCAACGGUGAAAGCUGAGCGGGAUACAGUUCAGAAAAUCUGAGCUGGAGUCAGAUUUUCGCAGGAAAUCAAGUUCUGGCAGUUUCGGGAGAACGGCCAUAACUUGCUCCACAGAACUCCGAUUCAAGCGAAACAGGCGGCCACGGAAAGCUCUCUCGAAGACGAAGAAGUCGUAUUUCUGGGUAAAAUACGAUUUGAGGACGUUUGAGGCUUCAAACGAAGGCUUGAAGCUGACUGGUCUGUUCAGCUGCGAUUUUGACGAAUUCUUCUGAAUUCUUCCGGUGCGGCGCUAUUAAGACCCUCGUUCCGAAUUUGAUUUAAUAGUCUCGACUUUAAGUUUUGCAGUUUCAGAGUUGAAGUGGCCAUGGAAGUGGAGAAUGACUAGGGAUAAGGAUUUUACAUUGAACAUUUUAGUUGAACUUAUUAAGUUUUAUUUUAUUUUUAUGAUACUACUUUAGUUUUGGCAAAUUGAUUUCUAAAUUAGUUUAAAUUUUAAUAGUCAA